UCGAGAGAAAAGCCUGGGAUACAAAGUUUUGUCUCCUGAAUGCAGCUGGCUUGUGAAUGAGACCGUGUAAAGUGUGUCAGCUUGCAAAGCACCAGUGUGCUGAUCUGUACGCAGGAAUUAAGCUCAGCAGAGUUGCAUGGAUUUGAAAGAAAGCUGCUAAAUGUGUGGCUGCAUGUGCAGAGCUGCCCUGGCACUUGCUGUCCCCUUCUGCGCCUGGAAAAGGAAAGCUCUCCUCCCAUUCCAGCUCCCGACUUGUGGAUUCCCAUUUUCUUUGCCUUGCUCGUUCCGUUUGUAGUUCUCCACUCCGGUCUCUGCAGAGUAAUUUACUGGCAGAAUCUCUCCCAGAAUCCAGCUUGAAACCAAGCUGUAAAAACAGCUGAGUGUGUAAAUAAUUCAUGCAGACAAUAUGACUUUUUUAUGUAAAUUCGGUGCAUUAACCCUCUAUUAUAAUGAUGGACGACAGAUAUGGGCGACGUUGCCUUGAGCAGGCAGAUUUUCACCGGUUCCCCUGGCCGGUACCAUGCUCUGGUUGAUGAUAUGUAGAGCAGAAGGCAUCGUUCUGACCAGACCCUCUAUUUAAAGGAACACGGCAGAUGGAAGCGAGGACCUCUUGGAACCCUCCAUGGUGCUUGGAGAAGGGGUGACGCAGAUUGUUUUAGCACCCUCUCUAAAAAUAGCACCAACAACCGUGUGACCAGUGGUGUU